rnacentral:lncRNA from 1 species
UGAGACUGGAACCACAGCCACUCGGUGACUGAGUAACAAGGGGUCAGGAUAUACUGAAAACAACUCAAGAUAAAUCCAGGGAGGCAGGAAACCAUAAAGUCACCAAGACCACAUUCAGGCAAGAAAUACAAAGACAGCACAAGUACCAAUGGUUGAUAUAUUUAUUGGUUGUAUGAUGCAUUUGAAGCCGUCUCAAUACUGUCAGUUCUGAGCCUGCACAUUUGUUUGGACGCCUUCCUCCCAACCUCAGACUGCUUUUCACGGAUACAAUGAAAGGACAGAAAGUUUUACAGCUUCAACCUUCACCUGUCUUUGCAUAACAGCAUAUUUUCAUCAGAAAUUUGUAAGUAUCUUUUUAUUUUUCUGUACUUAAGUAAUUAGAGACUGAUCGGGGGAAUAAAUAGCUCCUCU